AUGUAUCCCCCAAACCAAGGGGGGAUGAGAACCACCGACCGGGGUUCGACAACUGGCGCAGCCAGUUGGACAGACCGGGCGCGCAGCGAACGGGCUGCCCCGAAGGGGCGAGCAAAGCGAGUCAAUCCCCCCCUCACCGCCAUAUUCAAGUUGAGAGCCUGUACAGAAGUACGGGCUUUUUGGCUUAUAUAUAUCCCCAAACKUAAGGGGGGAUGAGAACCACCGACCGGGGUUCGACACAAAAACGCCGGGAGCGUUUUUGAACAGAGCUUGCUCUGGCCCCGAAGGGGCGAGGCCCAGGGAUGGGCUGAGUAGCGGCGCAGCCAGUUGGACAGACCGGGCGCACAGCGAACGGGCUGCCCCGAAGGGGCGAGCAAAGCGAGUCAAUCCCCCCCUCACCGCCA
rnacentral:sRNA from 1 species